GAUGAACGCUCGCGGCGUGCCUAAUACAUGCAAGUCGAGCGAACGGACGAGAAGCUUGCUUCUCUGAUGUUAGCGGCGGACGGGUGAGUAACACGUGGAUAACCUACCUAUAAGACUGGGAUAACUUCGGGAAACCGGAUCUAAUACCGGAUGAUAUUUUGAACCGCAUGGUUCAAAAGUGAAAGACGGUCUUGCUGUCACUUAUAGAUGGAUCCGCGCUGCAUUAGCUAGUUGGUAAGGUAACGGCCUACCAAGGCAACGAUGCAUAGCCGACCUGAGAGGGUGAUCGGCCACACUGGAACUGAGACACGGUCCAGACUCCUACGGGAGGCAGCAGUAGGGAAUCUUCCGCAAUGGGCGAAGGCCUGACGGAGCAACGCCGCGUGAGUGAUGAAGGUCUUCGGAUCGUAAAACUCUGUUAUUAGGGAAGAACAUAUGUGUAAGUAACUGUGCACAUCUUGACGGUACCUAAUCAGAAAGCCACGGCUAACUACGUG
rnacentral:rRNA from 1 species